rnacentral:rRNA from 1 species
UGGGGAAUAUUGGGCAAUGGACGCAAGUCUGACCCAGCAACGCCGCGUGAAGGAAGAAGGCUUUCGGGUUGUAAACUUCUUUUAAGGGGGAAGAGCAGAAGACGGUACCCCUUGAAUAAGCCACGGCUAACUACGUGCCAGCAGCCGCGGUAAUACGUAGGUGGCAAGCGUUGUCCGGAUUUACUGGGUGUAAAGGGCGUGCAGCCGGAGAGACAAGUCAGAUGUGAAAUCCACGGGCUCAACCCGUGAACUGCAUUUGAAACUGUUUCCCUUGAGUGUCGGAGAGGUAAUCGGAAUUCCUUGUGUAGCGGUGAAAUGCGUAGAUAUAAGGAAGAACACCAGUGGCGAAGGCGGAUUACUGGACGAUAACUGACGGUGAGGCGCGAAAGCGUGGGGAGCAAACAGG